UACGUAGGAGGCGAGCGUUGUCCGGAGUUACUGGGCGUAAAGAGCGCGUAGGCGGGAGAGCAAGUCCGGUGUGAAAGCCCCCGGCUCAACCGGGGAAGGUCGCUGGAAACUGCUCUUCUUGAGGUGGACAGAGGGAAGUGGAAUUCCUGGUGUAGCGGUGAAAUGCGUAGAUAUCAGGAGGAACACCCAUGGCGAAGGCAGCUUCCUGGGUCCAAUCUGACGCUGAGGCGCGAAAGCCAGGGGAGCGAACGGG
rnacentral:rRNA from 1 species